CGUUGACUUUAGCACUGCAGCAGGGUUGGGUGUGACAAUGAGGCACUCUUUGUUCUGCAUGCUUGAUUUAUUAUUGCUCAGUACGGUCUUCUAUGGAAAUGCUACAGCCAGUAAACCUCGGGCCUUAAUAACAGCACAUGAGGGAGUCAUACCAGCAGGGGGCAGCGUGACACUGAGCUGCUCUGUGGAGGGCUCUGCUGGCUGGAAGUUUGACUGGUUCAGACGUGAUUCGGAGUUUUCUGUGGCUCAGAAAAUAGGAGCUGGAACAUCAGAGCACACGAUCAGUAUUUCAGAAGGAGGCAUCUAUUACUGCA